GGGCUACGUAGGAUUUACAUAGGAAAUUGGCCCCCAAUUUUCUGAAAUUUCAAAAGUCAUUGACAGUAUAUAAAUUUACUUGUUUUUAUUACAUUGAGAUCAAGUCUAAUUAAAAAUGCUACAAACAGCUGAAAAAAAUCAUUUGAAGUAACAAAAAUCAUGACCUAACCACCCCGAGGAUCAGCAUUUUCAUUAAUUUUAUAUCAAAAAUCGGACUUUCGUCUUCGAAAUUCGUGUUAAGGGAGCCCUCCCCCACAAAAUAUUUAAAUGUCAGAUGUACGAAUAAAUGUGACAGAUUUUAAUAAGAAAAUGAUUUUCUGUGGGGGAGGGCUCCCUAAACACCAAUUUUUAGAAAGAAUUGAAAAUUCGUCGCUGAAACUAUUGAAAGGCGGUGUAACUCGUGUCGGCGUUGCUAUGCAUCACGGAAUGGAUUGUCUCCCUUCAAAACUCGAGCGUCUGACGACACAGAUGAAUUACAACGCCGAAGGAGACGCUGGAAAACGCCAGGAAAACUGGAAAAUAUGAUUUAUUAGUUUAUGUGGAGUAGUGUCCCAUGUCCACGUUCGAGGUCAGACAUGAUUGGUUUGACAGAAUCUAUUUAUGUUCGGGAUGGCUAGUUUAAAUCGGAUUGUUUUGACAGAAUCUGUUGAUGGUUUUUAGACUGGUUCGGGAUGGCUAGUUUAAAUCGGUUAAAGUUUUGAUACACUUUCAUAUCUACCAUGAAAUGGUGUGAUUUUAGAAGGAACAAAGAUCAUAUGCUGUAUUGCUGUUUCAUUUUUUGACCUACCAAUAAGUGAUAGGAAUGUUCUUAGAGUUGGUUUUGCAUAGACAGUGGUUGCCAGUAAAGAUAUUGAAUAUCUGUAAGUAUUAAAUUAUUUUCAGCAGAUACUCAUUAAGACCUG